GGCAUUGGUUUCUAGAAAGGACGAGUGUUUACGCUGUUAAAAGUGGAUAUCAUCGGCUUUCCCAUAUUCAUAUUCCUCAUGGUACCCCUCAUGUUUUUCAACAUUUAAUGGCUAAAUUAUGGUAGGUUGAGGUACCUGGUAAAGUUAAGCAUUUGAUUUGGAGGGCUCUUAUAAGUGUUCUCCCUGUUAAAGUAUGUUUAAUCCAGCAUCAUGUGGAGGUCUCAUCUGUCUAUCCUCUUUGUGACUUGUAUGAUGAGACUAUUAAGCAUGCUCAUCUUUUCUGUGGUGCGGCUGCUAUUGUUUGGUUUGUGGCACAGUUCUCGCCCUAUCCACGUUAUUGUUCAAUCUGUGAUUGGCUUUCUAAUCUCUUCUAGUCCUUACCACCUACUUUUAUUGCUGAGGCUUUUAUGCUGAUUUGGUCUAAUUGGAAUCACCACAAUCACAAAGUGUGGAAGCAGUCCACUUUAUCUUCUACUCAAGUUUUAUAUGGCGCUUAUUCAGCUCUUGUGGACUGGAUAUAUGCAUAGUCAUAUCCAUCCAUCUCAUCUCAAAGCCCCCCACCACCUUUUGCAGUGCAUUGGCAACCUCCACCUAUUAGUUGGAUUCCCUGUAACAUUGAUGCAUUUUUUCAUUCUUCCAACGACCAUGCUGGUUUUGGCUGGGUUCUAAGAGAUUCAUCUGCCACUUUCUUAGGUGUUGUUUGUUAUCCUACAUUUGCUUGCCUCUCUGCCUUGGUUGUUGAAUCUCUUUGCACCAAGGAAGCUUUAAGCUGGUUAAAAUCUCGCGACAUGCAUAAUAUCUUGAUUGAGACGGACUGUCUUUUGCUCCACCAAGCUUUGCAUAGUUCUUCCCAGGAUUCAUCUUAUUUUGCUUUUGUAGUUAGGGAUGUUAAAGCUCUUGUACAUGAGCUAGGGAAUUUUGAAUUCUGUUUUGUUAGGCGAUUAGCGAAUCAGGUUGCUCACUCCUUAGCACGGGCAACUAUUUCUUGUUUGGUCCUCAGGAUUGGGGCUCUGGUCCCCUUCCUUUUUAGUUAAUGUACUCUCUUCUGAUAUUUCUUGAGCAAUGAAACCUUUACGUUUU
rnacentral:misc_RNA from 1 species